AUUGAACGCUGGCGGCAGGCCUAACACAUGCAAGUCGAGCGGAUGAAGGGAGCUUGCUCCUGGAUUCAGCGGCGGACGGGUGAGUAAUGCCUAGGAAUCUGCCUGGUAGUGGGGGAUAACGUCCGGAAACGGGCGCUAAUACCGCAUACGUCCUGAGGGAGAAAGUGGGGGAUCUUCGGACCUCACGCUAUCAGAUGAGCCUAGGUCGGAUUAGCUAGUUGGUGGGGUAAAGGCCUACCAAGGCGACGAUCCGUAACUGGUCUGAGAGGAUGAUCAGUCACACUGGAACUGAGACACGGUCCAGAAUCCUACGGGAGGCAGCAGUGGGGAAUAUUGGACAAUGGGCGAAAGCCUGAUCCAGCCAUGCCGCGUGGGUGAAGAAGGUCUUCGGAUUGUAAAGCACUUUAAGUUGGGAGGAAGGGCAGUAAGUUAAUACCUUGCUGUUUUGACGUUACCAACAGAAUAAGCACCGGCUAACUUCGU
rnacentral:rRNA from 1 species